UGAGGGGGAUAUAGGCACACGGCGCGUGUGGUUCGCGUGACUUAGGUUUGACGAGGCUGUGCGGUUGGGAUCACGCCUGUGUGACUAACAAGGCGUUAGGAAGGUCCGAGGUGUUCUUUUUGCUGCGGCGGACAUACCGCCCGACUGAAAAACACAACCUCUGCAGCUAUACAAGAAUCCUUAAUAGAAACGAUAACCAUACGCUUUUGACGUACAUGGGCGAGUACGACGACAAGCGUGAGUACACCCAGCGCACACUGUACCUGACCACAAGAGAGGGAAGCAGCAACGAGAGGAACUAUAUCACCGUCUCCUCUGCGGGAUAUCAACGGCC